rnacentral:misc_RNA from 1 species
AGGGGGUAUACCCCUAACUCGGGUCGCCUGGGGUCGAUUUUGGCGAAUGGUGCGUUUGGGCCGGAAACCCUUCGGUAUGGCCUGUAGUGCCUAUAUUUCGCCUUUUCUCGGUCUCUGGGGCCCGAUAAAGCUAGCAAACAGUGCGGACGGCCAGUGGAAGCCUGAGGCGCACUAGUGCUAUAGGACCAUUGGAUCCUAUAUAAAAGCCCUAUAGGCUGUAUGCUUAUAGGCAAUCCUAUACUAACACGGACCAAGACGCAUGGGUGUCGGGUGGCAAUUGUCAUUCUGUACCCAGGUUGUGGGCUUGUAGUAACUGGAGGGCCAGCCUCAGCUAGCCAUUCGGGUGCUGCAUUGACCCAUACCAUUGAUAUUGAUAAGCCGGCUGGCUAGUCCUGUUGGCUCGGUGGAUCAUUCGUGGUCUGCCAGUGCAGUGCAUAAACGAUGAGCACGAAUACUACCAAUGGUUUCAUUGGCUUUCGGAUACACCGGCCUAGAGUCGGUAUGAGAAUCACAGAUUUACGGUACGCAAGUGGUCCACAUGGGUUGGUUAAAAACCCUGUGGUUGUGCCACAGGUCUCAAUGCUGUACGUUGCACGCCCUAGAAUGCGCGUACUGGCAAAGAACCUGGAAUCCACAUACUGAGUCCACUAAACCUUUCGGGGUUGUGGCAAAGAGUGAAC